rnacentral:tRNA from 1 species
GCUAUUUUGGCAGAUAAGUGUAAUGGAUUUAGAAUCUAUAAAUGUAUAUUGUUAAUACAUAUAGCA